GUUGUGUUCGAUGAACGUUGACAGUCGUCACGGCCGCGCUACCUUUAACGGUGGGAGCAGAGGGGCGGUCACUUUGAUCCAAGUCAAGGCCCGUACAGCCGCCACCGUUCGAUGUCGGUCCGGCGCAGGACGGGGUGCGUGAUGUGGUUUCCGUCUGUGACGGGAGGUGGGGCCGGAUGACCGGCCAAGCUGAGGGAUCAGCGUCGCAUUCGGCGCGCGACGUGGUA
rnacentral:sRNA from 1 species